AAGCAGAGCCUCUGAAUUCCGUUUCCCAUUGAAGUUUUGCUUCUCAUCUCAAGUGGUUCAUUGCUGUUACUCUAAAGUUUGAAAACUGAAACUUCUGCCAUCAAGAAAUUUAUUCUCAUCAUUCAUUUUCAUCAUCUUCAUAACUCUCUAUAUUUGGUCCCAUUUGACAGUCAACAAGCCAUCUUUCAACCAUAUCAGUACGUGUUAAGGUUAUAUUUUAGUUGAAUUUGAGGAUCAAAAAUUAAAAUCAUGCCACUGAAUGCUAUUAUACUUUACAUGUACAUGUAUUUUUCUUUAUACAUACAUUGUAUAUAUACACUGUAUGAAAUCACAUUAAUAUAGUGUAUGAAAAAAACCCGCAUGUAUAACAGCUGUUAUAUAUAAAGAACUCUUUUUACUAUUUUGUUUAAAAUUCAGAUCAGAUAUAAUUAAUGUGUCUUAUUAAUUUCAACAAAUACAUCUGAAUAGGAACUUAUUAAUAAGAUGAGCUAUUUUGUCAACUAGAUUAUUUCUUUGUCAUUGGCAGGCAUGGCCUGAUUAUGAUUCAUUUUGUUAUUAUUAUAUACAUGUACCAUGUGAUGUAUGUCAAACUGUACAUAAUUGUGUAUUAUGAUAUUGUCAAAUAUAUACAAACUGAUUUU
rnacentral:misc_RNA from 1 species